CUAGCAACCUAUCGUUGCCUUUGAACAUGAUAAAUUGCUAGGUUGUAAAAAAUUAUAUAAAAAAUGUGAACUUCAAAGUUGAUUGCCAAGUGUAGAUAAUCAUUGGAUCAGAGUUAUGGAAGCAUUAUACCACUAAUCUAAGGCUGUGGGUAGCUUAUGACAGGUUAACUUUAAAUUACUAUCAGGAUAGUGCGUACUACAAAUAUGCAUAUCUUGGAUAAAGG